AUUGAACGCUGGCGGCAGGCUUAACACAUGCAAGUCGAGCGGGGGAAGGUAGCUUGCUACCGGACCUAGCGGCGGACGGGUGAGUAAUGCUUAGGAAUCUGCCUAUUAGUGGGGGACAACAUCUCGAAAGGGAUGCUAAUACCGCAUACGUCCUACGGGAGAAAGCAGGGGAUCUUCGAACCUUGCGCUAAUAGAUGAGCCUAAGUCGGAUUAGCUAGUUGGUGGGGUAAAGGCCUACCAAGGCGACGAUCUGUAGCGGGUCUGAGAGGAUGGUCCGCCACACUGGGACUGAGACACGGCCCAGACUCCUACGGGAGGCAGCAGUGGGGAAUAUUGGACAAUGGGGGGAACCCUGAUCCAGCCAUGCCGCGUGUGUGAAGAAGGCCUUAUGGUUGUAAAGCACUUUAAGCGAGGAGGAGGCUACUUUAGUUAAUACCUAGAGAUAGUGGACGUUACUCGCGGAAUAAGCACCGGCUAACUCUGUGCCAGCCGCCGCCGUAA
rnacentral:rRNA from 1 species